rnacentral:misc_RNA from 1 species
GAUGAAGAACGUAGCGAAAUGCGAUAAGUAAUGUGAAUUGCAGAAUUCAGUGAAUCAUCGAAUCUUUGAACGCACAUUGCGCCCGCCAGUAUUCUGGCGGGCAUGCCUGUUCGAGCGUCAUUACAACCCUCAGGCCCCCGGGCCUGGCGUUGGGGAUCGGCAGAAGCCCCCUGUGGGCACACGCCGUCCCUCAAAUACAGUGGCGGUCCCGCCGCAGCUUCCAUUGCGUAGUAGCUAACACCUCGCAACUGGAGAGCGGCGCGGCCAUGCCGUAAAACACCCAACUUCUGAAUGUUGACCUCGAAUCAGGUAGGAAUACCCGCUGAACUUAAGCAUAUCAAUAAGCGGACGA